CGUCACAUUAGUUAGUUGGUGGGGUAAUGGCCUACCAAGACGAUGAUGUGUAGCCGGGCUGAGAGGUCGAACGGCCACAUUGGGACUGAGACACGGCCCAAACUCCUACGGGAGGCAGCAGUAAGGAAUUUUCGGCAAUGGAGGAAACUCUGACCGAGCAAUGCCGCGUGAACGAUGAAGUAUUUCGGUACGUAAAGUUCUUUUAUUAGGGAAGAAAAGAUGGUGGAAAAACCAUUAUGACGGUACCUAAUGAAUAAGCCCCGGCUAACUAUGUGCCAGCAGCCGCGGUAAUACAUAGGGGGCAAGCGUUAUCCGGAAUUAUUGGGCGUAAAGGGUGCGUAGGCGGUUAAAUAAGUUUAUGGUCUAAGUGCAACGCUCAACGUUGUGAUGCUAUAAAAACUGUUUAGCUAGAGUUGGAUAGAGGCAAGUGGAAUUCCGUGUGUAGUGGUAAAAUGCGUAAAUAUACGGAGGAACACCAGAAGCGAAGGCGGCUUGCUGGGUCUUAACUGACGCUGAGGCACGAAAGCGUGGGGAGCAAACAGGAUUAGAUACCCUGGUAGUCCACGCCCUAAACGAUGAGUACUAAACGUUGGAUAAAACCAGUGUUGAAGUUAACACAUUAAGUACUCCGCCUGAGUAGUACGUACGCAAGUAUGAAACUUAAAGGAAUUGACGGGACUCCGCACAAGCGGUGGAUCAUGUUGUUUAAUUCGAAGGUACCCGAAAAACCUCACCAGGUCUUGACAUGCUUUUGCAAAGCUGUAGAAAUACAGUGGAGGUUAUCAGAAGCACAGGUGGUGCAUGGUUGUCGUCAGCUCGUGUCGUGAGAUGUUGGGUUAAGUCCCGCAACGAGCGCAACCCUUGUUGUUAAUUGCCAUCAUUAAGUUGGGGACUUUAGCAAGACUGCCAAUGAUAAAUUGGAGGAAGGUGGGGACGACGUCAAAUCAUCAUGCCCCUUAUGACCUGGGCUACAAACGUGAUACAAUGGCUGUUACAAAGGGUAGCUAAAGCGUAAGCUUUUGGCGAAUCUCAAAAAAGCAGUCUCAGUUCGGAUUGAAGUCUGCAACUCGACUUCAUGAAGUUGGAAUCGCUAGUAAUCGCGA
rnacentral:rRNA from 1 species